rnacentral:rRNA from 1 species
GACGUAGGAUGCAAGCGUUGUCCGGAAUUAUUGGGCGUAAAGAGUUCGUAGGCGGUUAUCUAAGUCUGGUGUUAAAGCCCGAAGCUCAACUUCGGCAUGGCAUUGGAAACUGGGUAGCUAGAGUGUGGUAGAGGUAUCGGGAAUUCCUGGUGUAGCGGUGAAAUGCGUAGAUAUCGGGAGGAACACCAGUGGCGAAGGCGACUUCCUGGCCUGUUCUUGACGCUGAGGCGCGAAAGCUAGGGUAGCAAACGGG